GGUUGGUCGGAGUGCAGUGGUGUUUACAACUAAUUGAUCACAACAAGUUACAGAUUCCUUUGUUCCUUCUCCACUCCCACUGCUUCACUUGACCAGCCUUUA
rnacentral:Y_RNA from 1 species